GCUGGGCGUAGUGGUGUAUGCCUGUAGUCCCAGCUACUUGGGAGGCUGAGGCAGAAGAAUCACUUGAACCUAGGAGGCAGAGGUUGCAGUGAGCCGAGAUCGUGCCACUGCACUCCAGCCUGGGCAACAGAGUGAGACUCCGUCUCAA
rnacentral:SRP_RNA from 1 species